GUAAGGAAUAUUGGACAAUGGGCGGAAGCCUGAUCCAGCCAUGCCGCGUGAAGGAUGAAGGCGCUCAGCGUUGUAAACUUCUUUUGGAUGGGGACAAACCACUCGACGUGUCGGGUGCUGAGGGUACCAUCAGAAUAAGCACCGGCUAACUCCGUGCCAGCAGCCGCGGUAAUACGGAGGGUGCGAGCGUUAUCCGGAAUCACUGGGUUUAAAGGGUGCGUAGGCGGUCCGAUAAGUCAGUUGUGAAAUUCCUCGGCUCAACCGAGUGGACUGCGAUUGAUACUGUCAGACUUGAAUCAGGUUGAGGUAGGCGGAAUGUGACAUGUAGCGGUGAAAUGCUUAGAUAUGUCAUAGAACACCGAUUGCGAAGGCAGCUUGCUAGACCUGGAUUGACGCUGAGGCACGAAAGCGUGGGGAGCAAACAGGAUUAGAAACCCGUGUAGUCC
rnacentral:rRNA from 1 species